CCUACGGGAGGCUGCAGUGGGGAAUAUUGCACAAUGGGCGCAAGCCUGAUGCAGCCAUGCCGCGUGUGUGAAGAAGGCCUUCGGGUUGUAAAGCACUUUCAGCGGGGAGGAAGGCGUUAAGGUUAAUAACCUUGGCGAUUGACGUUACCCGCAGAAGAAGCACCGGCUAACUCCGUGCCAGCAGCCGCGGUAAUACGGAGGGUGCAAGCGUUAAUCGGAAUUACUGGGCGUAAAGCGCACGCAGGCGGUCUGUCAAGUCGGAUGUGAAAUCCCCGGGCUCAACCUGGGAACUGCAUUCGAAACUGGCAGGCUAGAGUCUUGUAGAGGGGGGUAGAAUUCCAGGUGUAGCGGUGAAAUGCGUAGAGAUCUGGAGGAAUACCGGUGGCGAAGGCGGCCCCCUGGACAAAGACUGACGCUCAGGUGCGAAAGCGUGGGGAGCAAACAGGAGUAGAUACUCCAGUAGUC
rnacentral:rRNA from 1 species